rnacentral:rRNA from 1 species
GCAAGUCGAGCGGACAGAUGGGAGCUUGCUCCCUGAUGUUAGCGGCGGACGGGUGAGUAACACGUGGGUAACCUGCCUGUAAGACUGGGAUAACUCCGGGAAACCGGGGCUAAUACCGGAUGGUUGUUUGAACCGCAUGGUUCAAACAUAAAAGGGGGCUUCGGCUACCACUUACAGAUGGACCCGCGGCGCAUUAGCUAGUUGGUGAGGUAACGGCUCACCAAGGCCACCAUGCGUAGCCGACCUGAGAGGGUGAUCGGCCACACUGGGACUGAGACACGGCCCACACUCCUACGGGAGGCAGCAGUAGGGAAUCUUCCGCAAUGGACGAAAGUCUGACGGAGCAACGCCGCGUGAGUGAUGAAGGUUUUCGGAUCGUAAAGCUCUGUUGUUAGGGAAGAACAAGUACCGUUCGAAUAGGGCGGUACCUUGACGGUACCUAACCAGAAAGCCACGGCUAACUACGUGCCAGCAGCCGCGGUAAUACGUAGGUGGCAAGCGUUGUCCGGAAUUAUUGGGCGUAAAGGGCUCGCAGGCGGUUUCUUAAGUCUGAUGUGAAAGCCCCCGGCUCAACCGGGGAGGGUCAUUGGAAACUGGGGAACUUGAGUGCAGAAGAGGAGAGUGGAAUUCCACGUGUAGCGGUGAAAUGCGUAGAGAUGUGGAGGAACACCAGUGGCGAAGGCGACUCUCUGGUCUGUAACUGACGCUGAGGAGCGAAAGCGUGGGGAGCGAACAGGAUUAGAUACCCUGGUAGUCCACGCCGUAAACGAUGAGUGCUAAGUGUUAGGGGGUUUCCGCCCCUUAGUGCUGCAGCUAACGCAUUAAGCACUCCGCCUGGGGAGUACGGUCGCAAGACUGAAACUCAAAGGAAUUGACGGGGGCCCGCACAAGCGGUGGAGCAUGUGGUUUAAUUCGAAGCAACGCGAAGAACCUUACCAGGUCUUGACAUCCUCUGACAAUCCUAGAGAUAGGACGUCCCCUUCGGGGGCAGAGUGACAGGUGGUGCAUGGUUGUCGUCAGCUCGUGUCGUGAGAUGUUGGGUUAAGUCCCGCAACGAGCGCAACCCUUGAUCUUAGUUGCCAGCAUUCAGUUGGGCACUCUAAGGUGACUGCCGGUGACAAACCGGAGGAAGGUGGGGAUGACGUCAAAUCAUCAUGCCCCUUAUGACCUGGGCUACACACGUGCUACAAUGGACAGAACAAAGGGCAGCGAAACCGCGAGGUUAAGCCAAUCCCACAAAUCUGUUCUCAGUUCGGAUCGCAGUCUGCAACUCGACUGCGUGAAGCUGGAAUCGCUAGUAAUCGCGGAUCAGCAUGCCGCGGUGAAUACGUUCCCGGGCCUUGUACACACCGCCCGUCACACCACGAGAGUUUUAACACCCGAAGUCGGUGAGGUAACCUUUUAGGAGCCAG